GACGAACGCUGGCGGCGUGCUUAACACAUGCGAGUCGAACGGAAAGGCCUCUUUCGGGGGGUACUCGAGUGGCGAACGGGUGAGUAACACGUGAGUAACCUGCCCUUGACUUUGGGAUAACUUCAGGAAACUGGGGCUAAUACCGGAUAGGAGCUCCUGCUGCAUGGUGGGGGUUGGAAAGUUUCGGCGGUUGGGGAUGGACUCGCGGCUUAUCAGCUUGUUGGUGGGGUAGUGGCUUACCAAGGCUUUGACGGGUAGCCGGCCUGAGAGGGUGACCGGCCACAUUGGGACUGAGAUACGGCCCAGACUCCUACGGGAGACAGCAGUGGGGAAUAUUGCACAAUGGGUGGAAGCCUGAUGCAGCAACGCCGUGUGCGGGAUGACGGCCUUCGGGCUGUAAACCGCUUUCGCUCAUGACGAAGCUUUGUGUGACGGUAGUGGGUAAAGAAGCACCGGCUAACUACGUG
rnacentral:rRNA from 1 species